CAAGUCCUUUACAUCUUCCAACUGAAAACUGAAAUCACAAACAACAGCAGACCCAGAAAACUACAUUCUCAUUGUUCAGUCUUCAUCAACUUUGUUUAAGAUGGUUUCUUACGAGUAUGUUCUUGGUGGGUUGUUCGCUUCAUUGCUGGGCUCUGUUUUCUUCAUGAUCAUAUCAGUACCACACUCGGUGGAAACAAAAAGGUCAAGGCUUUAAGUGGGGGAGUCAAGAGUAAUGCGUUUGGAGACGGUGCGUUUCUGCCGGAAAUGGAGGAGGAGAAAAGUACCGACGUCGUUAUUGUCGGUGCCGGAGUUGCUGGUGCAGCUCUUGCUUACACUCUUGCCAAGCGCCUCUCUUAGCCUCUUCUCCACCGCUCCGGUCAUCAAGGCUCUGAAGAAGCCGGAUCGCGACUGCAAGAAGGUUAAGAACAUGAAGACCAGAUCGAUGGCCAAGAACUGAGCGGGAUCGUGAAGCUGUGAAAGAGAAUCUGUCGAUUGGGUGCACGAGAUUACCGAUAGCGAUGUUGAGGUGCUGGUAUGAACCCAAGGUAUGAAUUUAAUGGCAGAGAAUGGAUGAGCUUGUUCCUGAUCUGGUAGAGAAGGCUUAACAUAGGAAGGAUCAGAUGAUCAUGAUGUUUCCCGACACCAGCACCCUCGCCUUGGCAGGUGGCUCGUGCUUCUGCAUUCUCUCUUGGGCUCGUUUAUGGAAGCAUUAAGCUCAGGGUCCUCAAGAAAAACUAUUCGAGGAGCAGAACUGCAGAGAAGUUUUGAUGCUGUGUUUGCUUUAGAGG